CCAAAGGCUCUUUUAAGAGCCGCCCAACAACACCUGAAGAGAAAUGU
rnacentral:ncRNA from 1 species